AUACGGAGGGUGCGAGCGUUGUUCGGAAUUAUUGGGCGUAAAGAGCAUGUAGGCGGUCUGUUAAGUCUGGUGUGAAAGCCCGGGGCUCAACCCCGGAAGUGCAUUGGAUACUGGCAGACUUGAGUAUGGGAGGGGUAAGCGGAAUUCCGAGUGUAGGAGUGAAAUCCGUAGAUAUUCGGAGGAACACCAGUGGCGAAGGCGGCUUUCUGGACCAAUACUGACGCUGAGAUGCGAAAGCGUGGGGAGCAAACAGGAUUAGAAACCCCAGUAGUCC
rnacentral:rRNA from 1 species